ACCGCGUUUUCUGCGCUACAGACUGCGCUUUUCUGACUCCUUUGUUUGAUAUCGUGUCGUAUCGUCGUAUUUAUGUAGUUAUUAGGAACGGCAAGCCUACGUUGUUGCGUCCUUUACCUGAAUAUCGUGACCGAAUCGAGUGUCGUCGAUUUGAAUCGUGUCUUGCGAACCAUCGUCGAACAAAAGGUCAUGGCUGGUCGCGGUUCAUCAGCGUUUGUUUUGAAACUGAUGGGUGCCACAAGGCAUGAAAGAGGUGACUUGCAGCAGCAAGACACCGCAAGCCUUCGCAGCAACUGGCUAGCCAGUGCUGCUCUGUUCUGAACUGUACUGCGUGUCAUGUGGAGGGUUUGUGCAAGCUCUCUGGGCGGCGACGCUAGCCACGGAGCUGGCCUCCCUCCCUUCCGUCAGCUGCAAUAUACUACAAGCACUGGGCUACAGCUGCAGCUAGCCCAUGGGUACCGUUCUGCGUCCUGUACUGCAUCUAGUUCGAAAGGCCAUGUGAAAGGCAGGUGUGGUCUUUAUGGGCUCUGUGAGUAUGUGCAUUUUCUGCAGCUUUUUCGGGGCAACUUCAUAUUAAGAUUCAAUACGGACUCGAGUGAGAGGGGGGCAUUCUGAGAAAGCCAGCCUCUUUGUUAAAUCAUUGGGACUGCUAUUAUAUCUAUAGAGUUUAUUUACACCUUACGUUAUGUACUUUUUCAUUUAUUUUUAUUUUACUAGUUACUUAUACUUCAAUCUGACACGACAGCCACCAAAACUGUUGACAUAUUGGCCUUUUUUUUUUUCUGUCAGUUUGUUUGAAGAGCCAAUGUUGGGGGCGGUCAUUCAUGUUAUAUUUCCCACACGCACGUCCAGCCUAUGUUUACGUAAAGCCCAAUUGCCCCUUAGCAACAAAAAUAAUUUAUGCGACAGACUACACGGCAGCAUUGUGGACGAAAACAGGCCAGAUUAUAUCUGCCAUGUUUAAAAACUACAUUCGGCGACAGGUUAUGAAUUCAGUGGCAAGAAUGCACACCGCCUGCCAAUCGCUGCCGUCAGUUGUCCUGACGUCAUGUCUGCUAAGAAACUAGAAUAUAUUUUUUUUAAAUGGCAGGUUUUCGUUGCUGACGCCACGUAGCAUGUCGGCACUCUAAGCACUUCUUCUGCUCUUGGCCUCUCCGGUUUUACCUUGCGAAGUCAUGACGGUGUCUGCUUUUGUUUGCAGUAUUUCCCGUGUGUCGACGUGAGAAGGCAGCGGUUGUAUCGCCAAGGAAGUAGCAAUCAAUCUGCGCGCAUUUGUUCCAGCGGCACAGCGUUUACAAACCGGACUUUGCCCUUCACCGAGGGGAAAGUCUACCGACUCGCCCUACAGUUGGUACCGGGGACCAUGACAUCAAUGAGCUGGCUUUCACCUUGUCCAAGGCAGCAGCGUAACACUACGGGCGGGACCCUGGAUCACUGCACCGUGGAUGCCGUUCUGUACCCUGCACGGCACUGCGUGUGGCUUAAGUGGCCAAGCAGAGGGUCAUUGCACGACUUUUAUGAGGUGCCGCUAGCCAUUGCUUCAAACCGCCCUGAAUCGUGGAUCAAGCCUUGCAAGAUGGAAGUUCUCUUUAGGCCCAGUGCCUUUUGUUGGAUCAAGUCUUGUACGCCAUUCCCUCGUGUCUUUCAUAUAGUAAAUUGUUGGUAUUUCUUUUA
rnacentral:lncRNA from 1 species